UACGUAGGGGGCAAGCGUUGUCCGGAAUCAUUGGGCGUAAAGCGCGUGUAGGCGGCCCGAUAAGUCCGCUGUGAAAGUCCAGGGCUCAACCCUGGGAUGCCGGUGGAUACUGUCGGGCUCGAGUCCGGAAGAGGCGAGUGGAAUUCCUGGUGUAGCGGUGAAAUGCGCAGAUAUCAGGAAGAACACCCAUGGCGAAAGCAGCUCUCUGGGACGGUACUGACGCUGAGACGCGAAAGCGUGGGGAGCGAACAGGAUUAGAACUACCGU
rnacentral:rRNA from 1 species